rnacentral:rRNA from 1 species
AUUGAACGCUGGCGGCAGGCCUAACACAUGCAAGUCGAACGAGUGGCGGACGGGUGAGUAAUGUCUGGGAAACUGCCCGAUGGAGGGGGAUAACUACUGGAAACGGUAGCUAAUACCGCAUACCAUCGGAUGUGCCCAGAUGUGAUUAGCUAGUAGGUGGGGUAAUGGCUCACCUAGGCGGCGAUCACUAGCUGGUCUGAGAGGAUGACCAGCCACACUGGACCUGAGACACGGUCCAGACUCUCACGGGAGGCAGCAGUGGGGAAUAUUGAACAAUGGGCGCAAGCCUGAUGCAGCCAUGCCGCGUGUAUGAAGAAGGCCUUGGGUUUGUAAAGUACUUUCAGCGAGGAGUCGUUACUCGCAGAAGAAGCACCGGCUAACUCCGUGCCAGCAGCCGCGGUAAUUG